ensembl:lncRNA
GAAAGGCCAACCAGGCCUCCUCACGGUUUGGUGACAUCUUAGCUCAUCCUCCCUUCGUUUGGAAACAAUUACAAAAAGUCACCUGAAAGCAUCUACAAAUAACCUCUUUCCAAAAGCUAAGAGAGGGUGUUUUACCUCCAACACUUACUAUCCAUUUUCUGCUGUUGCUUGCACUGAUGGGAAUCCACACAGAGAAAUCACUUAGGACAAACAAUUUUUCUGUUAUUUGUCUUUUACGUUGUUUAUAAGUGUGUGUGUAUGUGUAUAUAUAUAUAUAUAUAUGAUAGAUAGUUAUAUAUUCACCUUUAUUUCAUGUAACUUUUUGCCAGAUCCUUACACAUAAUCUCAGUCUUCUUAAAGGCAUCACCUGGUGCCUAUUUUAAGAGUGGACAAAACUAGUUUAUAGAACCGAUAUCUACUCAGGCAGCAAAACAAGAUGGACACAAACCUUGCCUCAAAACUAUUCCCAAUGGCAUCCCAUUCCUCUUCACUGGAGACGAAGAUAUUGGAUCAGCAUUAGGGUGCUGCAUGCCUGCUACUACUCUGUCACGGGAGCAUAACUUCUCUAGUCAAAACUGAAAGCAACCAAGACCACAUUGAUUAUUGCAGUGAAUACACUGGAAUCCUGGAGAUACGGAAAAAGUUGCUCUGAUGAUCAUUUACCACAGCAUUUGAUUCCAGUUGUCCUGAAGGGAGAAUAAAAGCUGUAUCAUACAAGAACAUCAAAUAAGCACUGCCAGAACUCACCAAUGCUGGCUCCUUCAAGGGUGACCUGAGCACUUUCACAAGGGACACGCAGCAACAAUGAGCUGGAAGGGAAGGUGCUCUACUAAGAAAGUUGUGGCUAACACCAUUAAAGCUACUUCU